rnacentral:sRNA from 1 species
AAAAGGGGGGGAAAGAAAGAAAGAGAAAAAGGAGGGCGAGUGGCGAGCAGGGGCCUCGGCCGCCACCCACACGCCCCGAAGCGUGCUCGUCCCCCGCGCGGGGCUCCCGGCCGCCGCCCUCGGCCAUCGGCUGCUCCCCGGUGGCCCAGGCCUCGGACUCCGCGGCCGGCCCGGCGCGGCCCGGCGCCCUCAGGUGUAUACCAAGGACUGGAAUUGCUGGGCCAAGCUUUGUGUUUUAAGGAAAAAAAAAUCAUGUUUUAGUUUCGUGCUGGUAAUUUGAAGUAAGCAGAUGUCUAGAUAUAAGCUUGGAAACUGGCCAGUUGGAGAUUGCUCACGGCUGCAAUUGAAGACUCCAGCAGCCUUUUCUCCUCUUUGCUACCAUUUGGAGAGGAAGGCAUCAUAGGCUAUGUGACUUCCGUGGACGCGGGGCUUGGCACCGGCUUGCAGUUGGGAUCAGUCUUCAGUGGCGAUUUGGAGUGGGUCA